rnacentral:lncRNA from 1 species
AGAAAGUUACAAGAGGAAGAAGCAACUCCUCCAUUAUUAUUCGAGUUUCGUGAUUAAUAAAAAAAAGAACUUUAAAUGCGAACUCCGCAAUAGUGUUUCGUGAUUGAUAAAAAAAACUUUAAAUGACUGUUAAUCUCCCUGUCCUAAAAAAAGUUCCGACCGAAAGGUCCGAACUUAAAAAAAGAACCUGGUUUAGGACUUCACCCCGUAAACUUAGCUUCGUUUUAGAACUUCAGCCCCCCAAUAACCCUAUCCCUCUUCGUUCCCAUCUUCCCAAUCUUCGCCGCUGAGCGCCCGCUCUUCGCAGCACUACCCCUCUCCUCUGUUUUUCGAGUUCGGCCACUGAGCCAGCCCUCUGUUCGCAGCCCGCCACUAUCUUAGGCAGACCUCUCUCUUCG